AUUGUUAUUACUACUAUUUCCUUUUUCAUUUCUUUGACGUAAGGAAAUAUCUCAAACACCACACAUCGUUAUCAUCAAUAUCGCGUCACCGAUUGCUCUCUCUCGCUUUCGCUCUCACUCCGAUCUUGCUCUGUUCACGAUUCUUCUCCGAUCUCACUCUCCCUUCGAUCUUGCUCCGAUCUCAAUCUCCUUCGAUCCUCUUCGCCGCAUUCCUCCUUCCUCGCGAUUGUUAUUCUUCGUUGAAAUUUGAUGUUGUAGUGCUCGAUUCUUCUCCGAUUUGGCGUGAUUUGUGAUUUGAUCAUCUUUGCAUAUUGUAUGCAACUAUGUUGAUGGAGCUAUAGGCUAUAGUAUGCAACUAUGUUGAUGAAGCUAUUGGAAGCAACUAUUCUUAUGUUCCGCUAUUGGAAGCAACUCAAAUGCAUAGUUUAGGGAAUAUACAAUUUAAAAAUUGUAUAGUCUCAUUAGUAGCCUUAUCAUCAUAUUAUGUGCUUAAAAUUUUAUUUAUGCUUUAAGUAGUUUUCAAUUGGACGAAUAUAUCAAGACAUGAUCUAUUAAUUAAUGUUUCCAUUCAACUUAAUCUUUAAUACAUUGAGCCUAUUAUCUAUCCUCUUUUGAUCAGGAACCGUAUAUGGAACCGUGGAUUUCCCCAAACUAACUUUUAAUGAAAGUGUGAAGCUUAGAGCUGGUGUUAACAAAAUCUCCCUUCUGAGUGUUGCAGUUGGGCUUCCGGUUCGUUUUCUCCCUCUCUAUUUGUGUCUUCCUGCACAUGGACUUGUCUAAAUAUAUUAUCUUUGCACAUCAAAACUAACUGAUUUUUCGGAAACAUAAACGGUAGUUGAUGUCAUGACUAUGUCUGAUUAGACGUGGUCGAGGGAGAAGUCGCAAUCCACCUCAGUCUUCCUUAGAUCUUUUUACAAUUGACAUAACAGUAAGUAUUGAUGUAUGAAUAUCAUCCAAUUUCUGUCACUAUGGUCUAUGAAGGAAAUUAAAGAUGUUGGUAAUCCAACAAUAUUGGCAUCCACUAGGCGACAAGCAUUUAGAGAUAGCCUAGAACAGAGAAUCCUCAAUGCUGAAACUUUCCCAUAUUAUGUAAGCGAUACAACAAAGAAUGUGUUGAUUAUUUCUACAUAUAUUCAUUUGAAGUGCAAUGGUUUUGAAAAAUAUGCUUCAGAUCUCCCGUCGGUGUGCCCACGGAUAUUGUUAUCUGGUCCUUCAGGUGAUCGAGUAAAAUUUGUCGGUAACUUUCCACCUGCUGUCUCAUCACUACAAAAUUAUUCUUCAAGUAUAUAGCAGUUGUGUUCGGAUAUCGGAUGAUUAACUAAUCAUGUAUAUGCCAGAAUAUGCAUUUGGUGAGAGUGGAAAACCUUCAUCAGGAGAUGAUGUUGUUGUGCCUCCCAAUGCUUCGCUCCAAAUGGAUCUUGGGUUAGUCUCGUGGAGGAUUGUAUCUGACAUUACUAAGGAUAGGAAGGUCCUUAAGAAGAUCUUAAAGGAAGGAGAGGGAAAUGAAAGACCAAAUGAUGGAGCUAUGGUUCUAGGUACAGUUUUGCUAAUAAAAACUUUUAAAGGUUUUUGUACUUUGAUUUCAUUUGUAAAGGUGAGAAUAUUAUGUCUUCAUUUUCUUUAGGUUUUUUAGUUUUGACAAAGUUGGAAGAUAUACUUGAUUACUUAUAUAAUGCUAACAUGUGUUUAGUUACUUUGUUAUGCGUAAAAUUUAGUCUUGUAGUUGUAAAUCAUGUUGAUUUAAUUAGGCUUAUUUCGAUUUUUUAAUAGAUGAUAAAUAAUUUAUAAUUAG